GUGAACGGGAGCGACGGGACGUUAUUUUCCCCGCAGUAGUCACGGGUGACGGUUGUGUAGGUGAAGGCGUUGUGGUGACCGUAACGGCUUUGUCCGUUGCAAAAUGGCCACCGAAGUGGACUGUUGAUAUUGGUGUGAAGUUAUUGGCGAGGUAGCCGUGUUAAGGUACAGGAGGAAUGAGCGGGGACGGGGCGAGCAGAUCAUGAAGAUGAAGGUUGAUAUAAUACUGCAUGAAUGACGGAGGAACCAAGAAAUCUGCUGCAUAGCUUGGACGGUGUCGUGCUGCAUGAACUGUACCGGCCAAAUGUAGCUUUAGGCUAUCACAACAGGAUUAAAUGAGUAGGGAAAGAAAUGUAAGAUGGUAAAUAAAAAUUAAUAACA